rnacentral:rRNA from 1 species
CCUACGGGUGGCAGCAGUGGGGAAUAUUGCACAAUGGGGGAAACCCUGAUGCAGCGACGCCGCGUGAGCGAUGAAGUAUUUCGGUAUGUAAAGCUCUAUCAGCAGGGAAGAAGAUGACGGUACCUGACUAAGAAGCCCCGGCUAACUACGUGCCAGCAGCCGCGGUAAUACGUAGGGGGCAAGCGUUAUCCGGAUUUACUGGGUGUUAAGGGAGCGUAGACGGGUAUGCAAGCCAGUUGUGAAAGCCCGGGGGCCAACCCUGGGACUGCAUUUGAAACUGGGUGGCUGGAGUGUCGGAGAGGAAGGCGGAAUUCCUAGUGUAGCGGUGAAAUGCGUAGAUAUUAGGAGGAACACCAGUGGCGAAGGCGGCCUGCUGGACGAUGACUGACGUUGAGGCUCGAAAGCGUGGGGAGCAAACAGGAUUAGAUACCCGGGUAGUC